AUUGAACGCUGGCGGCAGGCCUAACACAUGCACGUCGAGCGAGCGGCGGACGGGUGAGUACUGUCUGGGGAUCUGCCCGCUAGAGGGGGCUAACUACUGGAAACGGUAGCUACUCCCGCAUACUAUCGGACGCACCCACAUGUGAUGCGAUAUUAGGUGGGGUAACGGCUCACCUAGGCGACGAUCUCUAGCUGGUCUGUGCGGAUGAUCAGCCACAAUGAGACUGAAACAAGGACCAGGCGACUACGGUAGGCAGUAGUAAGGAUGAUUGGGCAAAGGGCGCAAGCCUGAUGCAGCCAUGCCGCGUGUAUGAAGAGGGACUUAGGGUUGUAAAGUACUUUAAGAUGGGAGGCGUUACCCGCAGAAGGAGCACCGGCUAACUCCGUGCCAGCAGCCGCGGUAAUAC
rnacentral:rRNA from 1 species